GACGAACGCUGGCGGCGUGCUUAACACAUGCAAGUCGAACGAAGUGGCGAACGGGUGAGUACUACGGGGGUAACCUGCCCUCCUUUUUGGGAUAAGCCUUGGAAACGGGUGCUAAUACCGAAUAAAGGGUGAUGGGCUCGCGGCCUAUCAGCUUGUUGUGGGGGUGAUGGCCUACGAAGGCGGUGACGGGUAGCCGGCCGGAGAGGGUGCACGGCCGGAUGGCGACUGAGAUACGGCUCAGAUUCGGACGGGAGGCAGCAGUGGGGGAUCGGGCGAAAUGGUUGAAAGUCUGAUGCAGCGACGAGGCGGGGGGGAUGAAGGCUGGCGGGUUGUAAUCCGCUUUCGAUCUCGAACGGGUAGUUGGAGAAGAAGCGCCGGCUAACUACGUGCCAGCAGCCGCGGUAAUAC
rnacentral:rRNA from 1 species